CCGAAUAGGGGAGCCGGAGGGAAACCGAGUCUUAAUUGGGCGUUAAGUUGCAGGGUAUAGACCCGAAACCCGGUGAUCUAGCCAUGGGCAGGUUGAAGGUUGGGUAACACUAACUGGAGGACCGAACCGACUAAUGUUGAAAAAUUAGCGGAUGACCUGUGGCUGGGGGUGAAAGGCCAAUCAAACCGGGAGAUAGCUGGUUCUCCCCGAAAGCUAUUUAGGUAGCGCCUCGUGAAUUCAUCUCCGGGGGUAGAGCACUGUUUCGGCUAGGGGGCCAUCCCGGCUUACCAACCCGAUGCAAACUGCGAAUACCGGAGAAUGUUAUCACGGGAGACACACGGCGGGUGCUAACGUCCGUCGUGAAGAGGGAAACAACCCAGACCGCCAGCUAAGGUCCCAAAGUCAUGGUUAAGUGGGAAACGAUGUGGGAAGGCCCAGACAGCCAGGAUGUUGGCUUAGAAGCAGCCAUCAUUUAAAGAAAGCGUAAUAGCUCACUGGUCGAGUCGGCCUGCGCGGAAGAUGUAACGGGGCUAAACCAUGCACCGAAGCUGCGGCAGCGACACUGUGUGUUGUUGGGUA
rnacentral:rRNA from 1 species